UGGCCCCCGCAGCCUCGGAAGCCUGCCCACCUGCAGGUGUGGUUUGCACAGGACGGCACAUCCCUCCUCGUCCUGGGUUUAAGCUUAAACACACAGAUGGAGAGACCAAGGAGCUGAGGCGCUAAGGAGAUGACCUAAGGUUGCAAAGUGAAAAGCAAGGCCAAGGAGGGGCUUCAUUUCAAAUACCAGAUGCGGGGCCGGCCCUCCAUCCACUCCUCGGAACGCGGCACUCCGCGGCCUCCCGGGUAGACGGUCUCCACCACUACUUGCUUCUGUUCAUCUCUGACGGCAGAGUUAAAUAAAAUUAAUACUAUUAUUG
ensembl:lncRNA novel transcript